GGAUGCCCUCCGUCGUCACCCCUUAAAACCUGUUACCCCCGUGGUGACUAGGUCGGUAAGGCGCACUCACUUCUUCCGGAAGCCCACAUUUCG
rnacentral:rRNA from 1 species